rnacentral:rRNA from 1 species
GUGGGGAAUAUUGGACAAUGGGCGAAAGCCUGAUCCAGCCAUGCCGCGUGUGUGAAGAAGGUCUUCGGAUUGUAAAGCACUUUAAGUUGGGAGGAAGGGCAGUAAGUUAAUACCUUGCUGUUUUGACGUUACCGACAGAAUAAGCACCGGCUAACUUCGUGCCAGCAGCCGCGGUAAUACGAAGGGUGCAAGCGUUAAUCGGAAUUACUGGGCGUAAAGCGCGCGUAGGUGGUUUUGUAAGUUGGAGGUGAAAUCCCCGGGCUCAACCUGGGAACUGCCUCCAAAACUGCAUGACUAGAGUACGGUAGAGGGUAGUGGAAUUUCCUGUGUAGCGGUGAAAUGCGUAGAUAUAGGAAGGAACACCAGUGGCGAAGGCGACUACCUGGACUGAUACUGACACUGAGGUGCGAAAGCGUGGGGAUCGAACAGGAUUAGAAACCCGGGUAGUCC